GCUGCGAGCGGGGAAGCGUACUGGAGGGUGGCUGCCGGGGCUUGGCGUGAGUUCUUGAUGGCAUGGUGAGGACUGAGAAAGAAGAGCAGAUUCUAGAUAAAGAGUAUGGUGGAGAAGAAGACCAAGGUGAUUUAUCUCUCUUGUGAACACAAUCAAGUUUAACCCAAGCAAUUGGUUAAUUGGUGCUUAUUGUACUCAUAGCAUCUACAGAGUGGGCCAAUAUUCGAAAAGAGCACAAGACUUGAGGAUUUGAGCAUGCUUGUAGGCUAGAAGCAUCACCUUCAGACUUCGUCACUUGUUGACAAUCUAA